AGGUGUGAUCAUACUAACACUAAUGCACCGGAUCCCAUCAGAACUCUGCAGUGAAGUGUGCUUGUGCGAGAGUAGUACAAGGACGGGUGACCUCCUGGGAAGUCCUCUUGUUGCACCUC
rnacentral:rRNA from 2 species